UACGGAGGGUGCAAGCGUUGUUCGGAUUUAUUGGGCGUAAAGCGCGCGCAGGCAGAAUAGUAAGUAAGAUGUGAAAUCUCGAGGCUCAACUUCGAAACUGCGUCUUAAACUGCAAUUCUAGAAUAUCGGAGGGGAAUGGGGAAUCUCUCAUGUAGGGGUAAAAUCCGUAGAGAUGAGAGGGAACACCUGGGGCGAAGGCGCCAUUCUGGACGAUUAUUGACGCUGAGGCGCGAAAGCGUGGGGAGCAAACAGGAUUAGAUACCCUGGUAGUCCACGCGGUAAACGAUGGGUACUUGUUAUCAGGGGUAUUGACCCCCUUGGUGACGAAGCUAACGCGUUAAGUACCCCGCCUGGGGAGUACGGUCGCAAGAUUAAA
rnacentral:rRNA from 1 species